GACGAACCGUGCGAACGUUGUUCGGAAUCACUGGGCUUAAAGGGCGCGUAGGCGGACGACCAAGUCGGGGGUGAAAUCUUUCGGCUCAACCGGAAAAUAGCCUUCGAUACUGGCCGUCUGGAGGGAGGUAGGGGCGUGUGGAACUUCCGGUGGAGCGGUGAAAUGCGUUGAUAUCGGAAGGAACACCGGUGGCGAAAGCGACACGCUGGAUCUCAUCUGACGCUGAGGCGCGAAAGCCAGGGGAGCGAACGGG
rnacentral:rRNA from 1 species